CGUGCCGAUGAGAACGACGAGGUGA
rnacentral:piRNA from 1 species